GUGCCAGCAGCCGCGGUAAGACAGAGGGUGCGAACGUUGCUCGGAAUUACUGGGCGUAAAGCGCGUGUAGGCGGGUGAUCAAGUCAGAUGUGAAAUCCCUGGGCUCAACCCAGGAACUGCAUUUGAAACUGGUCGCCUUGAGUGUUGGAGAGGGAAGCGGAAUUCCUGGUGUAGAGGUGAAAUUCGUAGAUAUCAGGAGGAACACCGGUGGCGAAGGCGGCUUCCUGGACAACUACUGACGCUGAGACGCGAAAGCGUGGGGAGCAAACAGGAUUAGAAACCCGGGUAGUCC
rnacentral:rRNA from 1 species